UACGUAGGGUGCGAGCGUUUGUCCGGAAUUACUGGGCGUAAAGAGCUCGUAGGUGGUUUGUCGCGUUGUCCGUGAAAACUCACAACUCAAUUGUGGGCGUGCAGCGAUAGCGGGCAGACUGGAGUACUGCAGGGGAGACUGGAAUUCCUGGUGUAGCGGUGGAAUGCGCAGAUAUCAGGAGGAACACCCGUGGCGAAGGGCGGCUCUCUGGGACGGUACUGACG
rnacentral:rRNA from 1 species